rnacentral:lncRNA from 1 species
AAAUCUUUCAAAAAAAAUUAAUAGUGGCUAAAUACCUUAAAUCAGCUAAGUAAUCUAAACUUUGACUUAAUAUACCCUACUAUCUCCAACAAAUAUACGAAAGAUCAAGUAAUCUAAUUCAAAGAUGGUAAUAUAAACUAUUAAAGACACUACCAAAAAGUAUAUACCAUGCUCUCACAGCAAAAUCCAAUCAAUCAAUAGAAGCAAAAAAUAAUAUAUAUACACACACAC